AGCCGCCCUGGCCUUCUCCUGGCCACCGGGCCGACGCCUGGGCACCGCGCCGUCGCCGCCCUCCGCCCAGCGGGCUCCAGUCCUCCCAGCCACAUCCUGACCCACCCGCCACCCCCUUUCUUACCGGCGGACGUGCGGGCUUGGCGGGGCGGAGGAAGCCGGCUCGCAGGCAGCCGGCUCCGAUCGGCGGCCUCCCCCGCGCCCGGGCCCGCGAUCUUGCCGCCGAGUCCUCGGGCUCCGGGCGUCUCGGGGUAAGCAAGAGUCCGGGAGGGAUGGGGGAAGGGGAAAGACGCGGAGGGGAAGGGGAAACCCCGGCCCGCGGCACCAACGCGCGAUUCCCUGCCGAGUGGAUCCAACAAUCAAUUCAUUAUUGAAGCACCAAAGGCGAGGGCAGCAAGAGCGAGAAGUAACGAGUCGUCGUCUCAGCCGCCGUCGCGCGCGCGCUCCCGCUCCCGCCGCUUAUCGGCCCCCGGCAGCCGCCAUGACGCCGAGAGAGCGAGGGAGCGCAACCGUCUUCGUCGUAGCCACCGCCGCCACCGAGGUCGCCGUCGCCCCCGCCUCCCGCGCGACGUCAGCGCCUCUGCUCACUCCCCUUCCCCACAGGGCGCGAGACGGGCGGCCGCGCGCACGUUGAACCCUUUCUGCAGGCGCUUAGGCAGUAGGCGGGGCUACGUCGGGAAGUUGUGGGCGUUGAGAAAAAAGCGAUUGGUGCUGGGGCGGGGCGGAGAGCGUGGUGCGCGCGCACUUGCGGGAACGCGCACGCUGGAUGCGCGGAAGCCGCCGGACUCUGACCAAGGCUGUGGCCGGCAGGUCCUCGAUCGGUGCCCGCCCUYCGUGGCCGGGCGGACAUAGCAAGAAGUCUGAGAUGCAGAGGUUCUUCCAUUCAGCCACCCAAACAUCAUUGUAGAAGCUCUGUAGGCUUCUCCAAGAAUACUGGACCCAGAGGAAGAAAAUUUGGGAAUGGCAUAAGGAGCAAGCACUAGAUCAGAAUACAAAGCUUUGCUCCAAAUUUGUGACUUUGAGCUGUUAACUAACUCUCUCUGGCUUUUGGUUUCCUGAUCUAUAAAGUGGAGAUGAAAGAUUUAGAUGAUCCCUCUGGUAUCUUUUAGCUCUAAAAUUCUGUGAUCUCAGGUUCUACAUGGUGAUAAAGCAUUCCGUAUCUGUCCAACCAUGCCAGUGAUUUAAUCUACGUUUAUAAGCAAGCCAGGAUGUGACAAAAAUGAUACAAUUAUUGACUCAGCAUUUUACAUUGUCUUUGACCCUGAAAGCAUAUUCCAUUUUCAAAUUGGCUACAUUAUUCUCUAGUCAGAAACC
rnacentral:lncRNA from 1 species